rnacentral:rRNA from 1 species
UACGUAGGCGGAAAAAUAAGUCAGUGGUGAAAUCCUGCAGCUCAACUGUAGAACUGCCAUUGAAACUAUUUUUCUUGAGUAUAGUUGAGGUGGGCGGAAUGUGUCAUGUAGCGGUGAAAUGCUUAGAUAUGACACAGAACACCGAUUGCGUAGGCAGCUCACUAAACUAUUACUGACGCUGAGGUACGAAAGCGUGGGGAGCGAACAGGAUUAGUACCCUGGUAGUCC